CUGGUAAUUAAACCCGCCAUCCUUUUUCAAGGGAAUAAUCCAAGAAAAUGUUUCGGUGUUACAAAUAGGAACGUGUGUUUUUUUACUAUUCAACCCGCGGUGACUUAGCUGGGCCUGCCGUGUGUCUAAAAUUUGUGUGCAUUGUCUGUAGCUUCCUGUUAAAAAUAGUCCCACCUCGGUCCCAUACACUGAUUCUCAUAAAUUUACAUACAUUUGCAAAAUAUCUGUAAUAUCAAUCAGCAAUUACAAGGGAAAGAACAAUGAGGAGCAACGAGGGAGAGGGAUCCUCGGGUGUGUCAAAAGAUUGACAUCAGACAUAAGAGAAUCAGAGGCAAAAAAGAAGAAGAAAUCGAAUGAUAAUCUCUGGCGGGCCCGGCGAGGCAUCUCCGGCGACCGGUCGGACAGCGGCGGCGAUUCUGGCAGGGUCCAGCGAGGCAGCGGGCGAGAUCAGAACUCCCUCCCGAUCCAGAUCAGAACGAGGAGCAGGAGCAGCUGCUCGCGACGGGCGCGGGACACGGCUGGCGAGCGGGGCCCACGAGGUCGUCCUCCUCCCGAAUCCUGUUGGGUCGAGGGCGCCCGGCAGCAAGGAGCUCCGACGAGCGUGGAGGUGGCUGGGAGGGCGCAGAUCCGGGGUAAAGCUGGGCACAGGGCGCCGGAUCCGGCGACGACAUCGGUCAGCGGAGAUGAGCAGCAGGAUUUCAAAAGAGGGAUACGCGCAGAGGGCCGAAGGCGCGUGGAGCGAUGCAGCGGCGAGGGCAACGGCGGGCGUGGUGGCGUCCGGUCACCGGCAACCGCGGAGGGAGGCGCUGCAUGGGGGAGGGAGUGGGCAGAGAGAGCGAGCGAGCGAGGCGUGGUGAUCCGAAGGGGUAGGUGGGGUGGGCGUGGGAUUGGGUGCGGCGCUGGGGAGCCUAGGAGAGGCCGAGAGAGG
rnacentral:rRNA from 1 species